AGAGUUUGAUCCUGGCUCAGGAUGAACGCUAGCGGCAGGCCUUAACACAUGCAAGUCGAGGGGGUAGAGGAAGCUUGCUUCCUUGAGACCGGCGCACGGGUGCGUAACGCGUAUGCAAUCUACCUUAUACAAAGGGAUAGCCCAGAGAAAUUUGGAUUAAUACCUUAUAGUAUUAUGAAAUCGCAUGGUUUUAUAAUUAAAGUUCCAACGGUAUAAGAUGAGCAUGCGUCCCAUUAGUUAGUUGGUAAGGUAACGGCUUACCAAGACAAUGAUGGGUAGGGGUCCUGAGAGGGAGAUCCCCCACACUGGUACUGAGACACGGGCCAGACUCCUACGGGAGGCAGCAGUGAGGAAUAUUGGUCGAUGGACGCAAGUCUGAACCAGCCAUGCCGCGUGCAGGAUGACGGUCCUAUGGAUUGUAAACUGCUUUUAUACAGGAAGAAACACUCCCUCGUGAGGGAGCUUGACGGUACUGUAGGAAUAAGGAUCGGCUAACUCCGUGCCAGCAGCCGCGGUAAUACGGAGGAUCCAAGCGUUAUCCGGAAUCAUUGGGUUUAAAGGGUCCGUAGGCGGUUUAAUAAGUCAGUGGUGAAAGCCUAUCGCUUAACGAUAGAACGGCCAUUGAUACUGUUAGACUUGAAUUAGUGGGAAGUAACUAGAAUAUGUAGUGUAGCGGUGAAAUGCUUAGAUAUUACAUGGAAUACCAAUUGCGAAGGCAGGUUACUAUCACUAUAUUGACGCUGAUGGACGAAAGCGUGGGGAGCGAACAGGAUUAGAUACCCUGGUAGUCCACGCCGUAAACGAUGGAUACUAGCUGUUCGGAGCAAUCUGAGUGGCU
rnacentral:rRNA from 1 species